rnacentral:rRNA from 1 species
CAGUAGCCGCGGGAAUACGAAGGGGGCUAGCGUUGUUCGGAAUCACUGGGCGUAAAGCGCACGUAGGCGGAUACUUAAGUCAGGGGUGAAAUCCCGGGGCUCAACCUCGGAACUGCCUUUGAUACUGGGUAUCUUGAGUCCGGGAGAGGUUGGUGGAACUCCGAGUGUAGAGGUGAAAUUCGUAGAUAUUCGGAAGAACACCAGUGGCGAAGGCGGCCAACUGGCCCGGUACUGACGCUGAGGUGCGAAAGCGUGGGGAGCAAACAGGAUUAGAUACCCCAGUAGUCCCUGUCUCUUAUAU